rnacentral:rRNA from 1 species
ACGGCAGCACGGGAGCAAUCCUGGUGGCGAGUGGCGAACGGGUGAGUAAAGCAUCGGAACGUGCCCAGUAGUGGGGGAUAGCCCGGCGAAAGCCGGAUUAAUACCGCAUACGACCUAAGGGUGAAGGCGGGGGAUCGCAAGACCUCGCGCUAUUGGAGCGGCCGAUGUCAGAUUAGGUAGUUGGUGGGGUAAAGGCCUACCAAGCCGACGAUCUGUAGCUGGUCUGAGAGGACGACCAGCCACACUGGGACUGAGACACGGCCCAGACUCCUACGGGAGGCAGCAGUGGGGAAUUUUGGACAAUGGGCGCAAGCCCGAUCCAGCCAUGCCGCGUGCAGGAAGAAGGCCUUCGGGUUGUAAACUGCUUUUGUCAGGGAAGAAAUCCUUUGGGUUAAUACCUCGGAGGGAUGACGGUACCUGAAGAAUAAGCACCGGCUAACUACGUGCCAGCAGCCGCGGUAAUACGUAGGGUGCGAGCGUUAAUCGGAAUUACUGGGCGUAAAGCGUGCGCAGGCGGUUAUGCAAGACAGAUGUGAAAUCCCCGAGCUCAACCUGGGAACUGCAUUUGUGACUGCAUGACUAGAGUACGGCAGAGGGAGAUGGAAUUCCGCGUGUAGCAGUGAAAUGC